AUGCAUGUGUAUACACAGGCACACACCUGCACACAGGUGCUUGCAGAGGCACCCACAUGCACACACACGUGUGCACACGCAUGCACAUGCCUGCACACACGUGUGUACAGAUACAUGCAGAUGCACAUGCACGCGCACACAUCUGCAUUCACACAGAUGUGCAGCACCGCAGCGGGCACACCUUGCACGCGCGCGCACACGAGCAGGCGUGCACACAUGCUCCCAACUCCCAGGGACACGCACACAUUUGCCCCCGGCAGGUGCAGGCCCACGUGUGCACCCCGAGGGGCUCCUUGCACGCUCUCGUGCCCCAAGAUGGGGUGUGCAACGGGGUGGGCACCAACACUGCGCACACGCUCCGGGCCGAUGGCAGCACAGGCGUGCACAGGGAGCUGGGCCUCAUGCACAUCCGUGCACGCAUGCAUGUACACACGCAUGCACACCCCGCUGGGCCUUGCACACGCACAGAGCUCCUGGCACACCCCCCCCCCCUCCGCCUGCGCCCCCCCACCGCCCCCCGGCCUGGGGGGGGGGCCCUGUGGCACCCAGCUGUGCUCCCCCCCCUCCCGCCAUGGGGCACCCCACUCCCACCCGGGUUCGUGGGGGCAGACGUCCCAGCCUGGGGCGGAACGGAGGUGGGCGGGGGGGGCCGCAUCCUCCGGUGACUGUGCUGGGGGGGGGCGGGGGGCUGGGUCCCCGCGUGCCCCCAGCACCCCCCACCCGCGGAGGCGGAGGGGUCCCCAGUGCCACCCCCCGUGUGCUGCAGCGGGGGGGUGGGGUGGGGGGGUGCAGGGGGCGAUGGGGCGCGGAGGCGGGGUGGGAGGGCAGCAGGGCCCCCCCGGGCUGUGUGUUCCCGUCCCCCCCGCCGGUCCCCGCACUCACCGCUCGCCCCGCGGCCGCCGCUCCCGCCGGGCCGCGCAGCCCCGGUGUGUUGCGCGCAUGGCGCAGGGCGAGCGCAGCGUCCGGCCGUACCGGAUCGCUCCCGCCAGAGCCCGGGCCCGGGUCCGGAGCAGCCGCCCCCCCCCCUUUUUUCCCGUCUCCCCCCCCCCCCCCGACACCCCCCCCCGCUGUUCCCUUGGCCGCGCUCCCGCCGUUCCCGGGCAACGGCUGCGCCCCGGGAGCGCGCGGCUAAAAAUACCGACCAGCGCCCGCCCCCGCCGGCCCCGCCCGCCCCCGGACCCCCCCCCUGCUCCGGACCCCCACGCGUGA
rnacentral:lncRNA from 1 species